UGAUUGCAAGGUGUGGAGAUAUAUAUAUAUAUAUAUAUAUAUAUAUAUAUAUAUAUCCAACCACACCUUGCAAUAU